UGUAAAUGGUGACUCAAAUUCUCAGGAUUUUGAGAUUAUUAAAUGGGCUCAUUUAUAUAAAGAGGCUUGUAAAGUGCACGGGCACCUAACUGGCACAGAAUAAAUGUAGGUAUCUGCCUGCACUCAGCAAAGCUUUGUUGAGUUGAGUAUUAUGUGUGAGGUCUCCUGGCAGUAACUGAGGGACAGAAUAAGACACUUGAUUUCUUCUCCUGAGGAAUUUCUCAUUUUGAUACUAAAGAAUAGCCAGGGAAUUUUGGAUUUUCCUACACUAAAUGAAGUUAAAUGUUUUGCUCAGUGUAUUAUCAAACAUCCAAUGGGAUGUAACUGAAUUUUUUUUUUCUAAAGCCAAGCAAACUGGGUUAAAGGACACCAUGGUAACUAAAAUGUUCAUAAAGUCCAAACCACUUACUUGGAAUGAAGCCUCAUCCCCCUCCCCAUAUUUGCAGAAAGAACAACUGGGGCUUCCCCCCCAGCCUACUUUUUAUAUUGAUUCUAUUUUCUAUUGAUUUUUUCUACUGUAGGAUUAUGAACUACUUUAAGUCCCUCUGAAACUAGAAAGAAUAUGAAUAAGGUAACAAACAAUGAAACACCAUGAUUUUUAUUUGCAUUUUUUAAUUACUAGUGAGGUUGAAUAUAUUUCCAUAUUAGCUUUCAGUUGUAUUUUGCCAGUAGUUCUGUUUUAUGAUUUUAACUGGUUACUAUCCAUCUGGUAUCUUCUGAGCCUGGGUAUUACUUAUCUUUGUAUCUUUUGUGCAGUGUGGUACAGCACCUCGGACCAAGUGGGAUUUGAAUAAAAAUGCUCCUACAAUGUGCCAGGCACUGGUGCUGGUGCCUCGGAAGUAGGCUCUCAGGGACACAUUCUAAGCUCUGUGAUGCCUGUAUUGGCCACUCUGAAUGAAGGAAACUGAUUUGGUGCUAGUGGCCCAGGUUCAAAGACUAGAUCUGUUGUUUACUGGCUGUGUAACCUCAGGCAAAGUUGCUUCACUGCUCUGGGCCUCAGUUUUUCUAGCCAUGUAAUAAGGAUAUUCUAGAUAAGCUCUAAGAUCCCCCUUAAUUCUUAUGAUAUAUUCAUACAACAUACUUAUUUAUAGGAUGAAAGAUUAUGUUCAAAUUGUAAUUAUUCUGAAAAUUCUGUUUUAUUAUUCUAUAGAUUGUAUCAAGCAGUGCUGUCCAACAGAAAUAUAGUGUGGGCCUUGAGUGUGAGCUACAUAUGUAAUCUUAAAAUUAAAAGUCACUGCAUUUUAAGUGAGUAAAAAAGAAACAGGUGAAAUUAGCUUAAAUAUAUUUUCUUUAAGUGAAUAUAACCAAACAUUAUCAUUUUAAUAGGUGGCACUAGCUAUAUUUCCAGUGCCCGAUAACUACAUGGGGCCCAAGGCUCCUGUGUUGGACAGCAAGGUAUGGAGUGUGGCAUGGGGGAGGCUGUCCUUUUCUGCUGCUGCUGCCCUCUGGUGGAUGUACAAAUGAGUGGCAUCUCACAGAACAGGUGGGAUGGGUGUCCUACUAUUACCACAUGUCAAAUCAGAAACAUAAAUAGUAAGGGGAGGGACAGACGUAGGCCACAGUAGAAUAAAUGAAAGACCCUCAUGCUAUUCCAUACGUGUGAGAAAUAUGGGCUCUAGUACUAACACUGUCUCAGGCCAGGAAGUAAACGAGAUCAUCUCUGUGAGCUGGAAGUCAAAUCAGAGACUAUUUAUCAGGAAUCUAGAAAAAGGGAAAUAUAAAUAACCUGAACUAUUUCCAAACUCUUUUCCAAUGAUAAUUAUGCCAAGAGUCCUUCCGCUGCCACCCUGAAAUGCUCUGCAGGGCCUUUUGAGUAUUUGGGGAAUGGACUGAUUGUGUUUGGUUUGUUUGAUUCUUUGCAAAUUGGUACCAACUGUAUAAAGUAUUUUGGGACCUUCUAGCAAGCAGAAUGUUUGAUUUGUUAGAACAAUUAAUUGGAAUAGCAGAAAGAGCAUGGAUUUUGGAGUCAGACUUAGAUUUGACUCUUAAAUAUGUCGUUUUCUGUGUGACCUUGAGUUUGAAAUUUAAUCUCUUUGGACUUCAGUUUCCUCAUCUGAAAAGUGGGAAUGACUCUUCAUCUGCAGGACACUUAGUAUUUAAAUGAUGAUUAUCUAUACAAUGAAUAUUUAUUGAGCACAUAUUAUAUGUCAGGUAUAAUAUGUCAGGUAUUGUAUAGGGUACAAUACAGUAAAAUAAGAUAUAAUCCACCCCUUCCUCCAUAGGGCCUUCCUGGUGGGGAAAACAAGUAUUUAAAAACCAUUAGUGUUUGAAAGAAUACAUUCAGGGCAUUAUGGAAGCAUGAAGUUGGGAACCUUAUGGGGUAGAUCUAAGGCAGGGCCUCUGAAGAAUGACAUUGAAUGGAAUCUAUAACAAUGAAUAGAGAUCAUCUAGACAGAAGAUUUUGUAUGAAGAGGUGUGGAGGGUGGAUAGAGCAGUGUUCUAGGCAGACAGAACAGUAUGUGCAAAGGCCCUGAGGCAAGAGAGAAGAUGGCUCAUUUGAGGACCUAAAAGUCAUUCAGUCCAGAACAAAAAGAGGAGACUAAUGGGGCUAGAGAUUAGUGGGUCAGAUCCAGCAGGUUCUUGUGAGUUGAGAGAGAUUAGACCUACAUUCAGAAGGCAUGGAGCUAUUGGCAGAUACUAAACAGGAGAGUGAUAUAAUUGCAUUGUUUUAAAAUCUUUCUGGCUACAUAGUAAGACAUGGAUUAAAUUACCGUGUGGAGCACAAAGUGGAGACUACAGCAGGAAUAAGGGUAAAAUAUGAUGGAGUUUCGGAUGUGGUAUGUAUAGUAUGAUAGAAGGGGAUUAAUCUAAGCAAUAUUUAGGGAAAUAAGAGAGAGAAUUAACCAGAUUGCUUUAUCUUCAUGAGUUGCUCUGUGGCAUGUGGCUGAUGGGUGUUACCUGGUGUGCUGUUCCUAAAGCCACGGCCUCGGCAAAUAUAUGCUGAUAUUCUACAAUCUGCCACAUACUGACCUAGGUGCUGCAGGUACCAUGGCAAACAAAAACAGACCAAAAUUCCAGGCCUCAAGACACUUAUGUUCUCUUAGAAAUAUGAUGAGGAUAAUAUAUGUAAGUAGCUGCUUUAUGGUAGGUAUCAGUGAAUAUCAACUCAUUCAUCUCUUCCCCAAUUGUGAUGGAAACCUAAUUUCUAUAUUAACAUUUAAAUAACACUAUGAAAUCACUCUGCAAGCUACACCAAUGCUGUGAUUUCAAAUAAAAGUCCAAGAGCCCUGUAGUGUCCACUGUACAUGAGGUCAUAUUGAUAAGACCCUGGUUUGGAUCUGACCUCCCAUCAUCUCACCUGUACCAUAGGCCCGCAUCAUUACAUGCUCCCCAUUUUCACUUAUAUAUAUUGUUGCAGAGAAGAAAAAAGAGAGAAGAAGUUAGCAAGGAAAUACAGAGCUGGUCAGGACUUUCUUUUUGCCU
rnacentral:lncRNA from 1 species